GAUGAACGCUGGCGGCGUGCCUAAUACAUGCAAGUCGAGCGAACAGACGAGGGGCUUGCUCCUCUGACGUUAGCGGCGGACGGGUGAGUAACACGUGGAUAACCUACCUAUAAGACUGGGAUAACUUCGGGAAACCGGAGCUAAUACCGGAUAAUAUAUUGAACCGCAUGGUUCAAUAGUGAAAGACGGUUUUGCUGUCACUUAUAGAUGGAUCCGCGCCGCAUUAGCUAGUUGGUAAGGUAACGGCUUACCAAGGCAACGAUGCGUAGCCGACCUGAGAGAGUGAUCGGCCACACUGGAACUGAGACACGGUCCAGACUCCUACGGGAGGCAGCAGUAGGGAAUCUUCCGCAGUGGGCGAAAGCUUGACGGAGCAACGCCGCGUGAGUGAUGAAGGUCUUCGGAUCGUAAAACUCUGUUAUUAGGGAAGAACAAAUGUGUAAGUAACUAUGCACGUCUUGACGGUACCUAAUCAGAAAGCCACGGCUAACUACGUG
rnacentral:rRNA from 1 species